rnacentral:rRNA from 1 species
CCUACGAGCGUCAGCAGUGAGGAAUAUUGGUCAAUGGGCGGGAGCCUGAACCAGCCAAGCCGCGUGAGGGAAGAAGGUACAGCGUAUCGUAAACCUCUUUUGUCAGGGAACAAAGGCGGGGACUAGUCCCCGGAUGAGGGUACCUGAAGAAAAAGCAUCGGCUAACUCCGUGCCAGCAGCCGCGGUAAUAAGGAGGAUGCGAGCGUUAUCCGGAUUUAUUGGGGUUAAAGGGUGCGCAGGCGGCCUGUUAAGUCAGCGGUAAAAGGACGGGGCUCAACCCCGGCGCGCCGUUGAAACUGGCGGGCUGGAGUUGGAGAGAAGUACGCGGAAUGCGCGGGGUAGCGGUGAAAUGCUUAGAUAUCGCGCAGAACCCCGAUUGCGAAGGCAGCGUACCGGCUCCACACUGACGCUGAGGCACGAAAGCGUGGGGAUCGAACAGGAUUAGAUACCCCGGUAGUC